rnacentral:tRNA from 1 species
UUCAAGACGGUCUUAGAUGACACCAAAGUUUGAUUUUGGAGAAAGUGAUUAAAUUCACUUCUUGUUU